rnacentral:rRNA from 1 species
AAUCCUACGGGACGCAGCAGUGGGGGAUAUUGCACAAUGGGGGAAACCCUGAUGCAGCGACGCCGCGUGUGGGAAGACGGUCCUCUGGAUUGUAAACCACUGUCCCCAGGGACGAAGAUGACGGUACCUGGGGAGGAAGCUCCGGCUAACUACGCGCCAGCAGCCGCGGUCAUACGUAGGGCGCGAGCGUUGUCCGGAAUUACUGGGUGUAAAGGGAGCGUAGGCGGGGAUGCAAGAUGGGUGUCAAAACUACCGGCUCAACUGGUAGUCGCACUCAAA